rnacentral:tRNA from 1 species
GCCGGGGUCUCCUAGCCAGGUAGGGAGCAGGCCUGCUAAGUCUGUGGCCCCCACGGGCCGCGUGGGUUCAAAUCCCACCCCCGGCG